rnacentral:rRNA from 1 species
GACGAAGGUGGCUAGCGUUGCUCGGAUUUACUGGGCAUAAAGCGCGCGUAGGUGGUCGUGUAAGCGGGGGAUGAAAGCCCGUGGCUCACCCAUGGAACUGUCCCCCGGACUGCACGGCUCGAGGAAGGAAGGGGAGAAUGGAAUUCCCGGUGUAGCGGUGGAAUGCGCAGAUAUCAGGAGGAACACCGAUGGCGAAGGCAGAUCUCUGGGCCGUAACUGACGCUGAGGAGCGAAAGCGUGGGGAGCGAACAGG